ensembl:lncRNA
GCGUUAAACAGCUCAAAACCACACUGAUUAGUAGGUUGGCGUUAAUUAGUUUCCCUCUGUUUAUACCUGCACCAAAAAGGACCAAACAGGUCGUGUUUUCCCGGUAUAUUUUAGACGUAUACCGAGUUAAACUAGAAUGACUCUGUUAACAUCAGCGUGUCUCUGCGUGGCUCUGCUGUUCGUCUGUGUCGUGGAUUUGGCUUCCUCAGACCAGACAACCAUCACAGCUGAGUCUGGACAGAAGAACGUCACUCUGACAUGUCGAGCUCCACAAGGCAAAACCAUCAGAGCUGUGAAGUGGAGCAGAGCUGACCUGGGAGAUAAAUAUGUGCUUUUGUACCGAGAUGAGCUGUUUGAUCAAACAAGCCAGCAUCCAUCUUUUAAGAACCGGGUGGAUCUGCAGGACAGACAGAUGAAGGAUGGAGACGUGUCUUUGAUUCUGAAGGAUGUGACGAUUAAUGAUGCUGGAACAUACGAGUGUCGUGUCAUUGUGGGAGAAUCAGCAUCAUUGGAGAUCAUGGGAACCGUCAACAUGAGUGUUCUUCCUCCAGGUCACCAGGGAGACACGGAGGAUGGAGGGAUAAAGGAUAUCCCUGUUGGACUUAAAAUCGGUCUGUCAUUUAUUGGUGGGAUUGUUUCAGGUUUUCUUUUGUGUUGUUUUGGGAUCUUUCUUUGCAUUUACUGCACUAAUGAUGCUGAGAUUCAGACUUAGGCACUAUAAGUCUCCUGACGACCAUCACAAGGUUUAAAAAACCCUAAAAUGAAAACACAGUUUAAAAACUGAUGUUUGUUGAAAACGCCUACAGUAACACAUUAAAUAUUUUUCAAUAACAACGAUGGUUUAAAAACCCUUUGGGCCUGUAACCUUAAAAAUAUUCAUAGUACGAAGGGAAAAAUAUCCCUUCCUAAUUUUUGUCUACUGGCUUUAAACAUAUUAAAGCCAGUAGACAAAAAUUCUGAGGAGGAGAGCUGAGAGGCACUGCCUUAUUAAAAAAAAAGACCUCAUACUUACUAUGUCAUUUGAUCAAAAUUUAACCAAGCUACUGCUUAAUUUAUGCGUCUGCUGUAAACUUGUAUAUAGAAGCUACGAUGUGGCCUCUCGAAGUGUUGGGAGGUGUUAUUAAUGCCUGUGAUACUGAAAGUUCACAGUUGCUGCCUGAGUUUCUCUCUUUAAAUUGAUCAAAUUUCUUUAAGUCAAAAACUGUUACCAGAGGAACACAUAGCCACAUAUGCAUAGGAGGAAAAAUGGGAAUUCCUCACGUCUCAAAACAAGCACCGACAUGUUUUUGUUCUUUUAUUAUUAUUAUUGUACUUGUUUUUUUUUAUUAUGCUUCCCUCAGUCAUGUGCAGUUGACCAAUGGGAGCACAGAGCAGUGAUUGUCUCAGUUUUUCUGCAGAGUGCAGCUGUUACAUGAGACCUGCAGACUGAGAAUAUUCUGCUUCCUGUGCCAGACUGUUGUGCACCAACAUGCUGUAUAUAAAUGUAGUGCUGGGAAACAGUAAAUACCUCCUGAACUGAGUAACUGGUUGUGCCAGUUUGUUGGCAGCAAGAACAACCGUCAAGUAUUUGUGAUAACCUGCACUGAUCAAUGUCACGCUGAUCUUUGAAGAACUGAGUUCAGUCACACUGGAAGAUUCUCAAGCAUCAACGGCUUGUUUCACUACACUUUCCUAACCAUAAUGCUUCACCACUGUUCCACGUUUUCUCCAUGUGUGGAUAACAACUCUCAUCAUGCUUUACUGGAGAGUCACACUUCUUUGCAUCACUUUAUAUGAAACGGCUCAACUCAUAAAGUAACCAGCAGAGGGCGACGAGGAGCUGAUCCAAUGCUUUUCCAUCUCUUUAAAUACAAAGUAGCUUCUUACUGUAACAACUGUCCAUGACUGAUAGUCAACUGUGUGCUGUUCCAUCCAAAUAUGCUUUAACAACAUUAACAGUGUGUUUACAGGAGGUACUGCAUGGGGGACUCAUCAGUUUUAACUAGAUCAUCAACAGCGACUGAAAUGAAACUCCACAACAUGAAACUGUUCACUGAUGAGACUUCAGUGAACAGUAGAUGAAUCAACUGAAGGACCAGAUGCAUCUCUCAGGUCCUGUUUCUUCAGGACAUGACUUUCACAGACUGUUUAUCUGCUGCAGAUAGUUGUUUUGUUUUGCUUUUUAGCCCUGAUACUUCGUCUUUCCUCAUUCACUUGUCCAGUUUAGUCAGAUUUUUAAGGACCCACUGCACACUGAGAUACUCCAACUUUUAAGAUAUCCGUUAAAGAAUCAGAUAGUUGGUGCAGUUCUGUUAUUCUGUCUGUCAAACUGUGUUAUCUUUGGCAGGUUUCCCAAAUCUAACUAAAGAAAUGGAAACAAAUGUGUUGUUGGGACAGAUUUCUUGUAAUAAAGUCUCUAAAGUUACAGUUUAA